GGAAAAUGAGAAAGAUGAGGGUUCACAAGGGGGCAGGAUUAUCAUGCUGAUCUUGAGGAGACCCUGUGCUGGCCUACACUCUCUGCGUAAGAGCAUCAAUUAUUGAGUCGCUCACAAAUUAAUGAAUGGAUGGAUACAUUAAUGGAAAAGGUUAUGCCGUAUUUUGGAUUCAUCUACAUGUUCUGAGACUUCUAACCAAUGUGCAGAAGGAGUGAGGUGUUGGGUUCCCAGGCAGCUCAUGCCUUGUCAGGGAAGUCACGACAUAGUGGUGUGCCUCACCUCAUUCAAGAUAGUGAAAAACAGGAAAAAAUGAAAGAAAAUGGAGAAACAGAGAAAGAGAGAACGAGAGAGGGAGAGACAAGGAGAGACAGAGGCAGAUAGAAUAUGUGCUUGGAGAGGUGAAAAUAAAUGAAAAAAGCCAACAGAAUAAUUUCAGAUUAUUUCAAAGCAACAAACUGUUAUAGUAUUUUAUAAAAACACACAGAUUAACACAACAGGCUUGAUUUUAAAAAUUCACAAUGCAUAGAGUGGAACAAUCUACUCCAUCAACAGAAAAACAUAGAUGUUGCUAAUAUAAUUAACAAUUAGUAAAUAAAAAGGAGUAGAACAAGCCACAAACACAAAUUAAAUUAUAUGUAAGGCUAAUAGUUAAGCCUGCUAAGAACAGGAGUGAAGGGACUCCUUUGGUGAGGGCAAUUAGUGGAACUAGUUGGGUUGUUCA